AUAAGCGGAGGAAAAGAAACUAACAAGGAUUCCCCUAGUAACUGCGAGUGAAGCGGGAAAAGCUCAAAUUUAAAAUCUGGCAGCCUAUGGUUGUCCGAGUUGUAAUCUGGAGAAGUGUUUUCCGUGCUGGACCGUGUACAAGUCUCUUGGAACAGAGCGUCAUAGAGGGUGAGAAUCCCGUCUUUGACACGGACUACCAGUGCUUUGUGAUGCGCUCUCAAAGAGUCGAGUUGUUUGGGAAUGCAGCUCAAAAUGGGUGGUGAAUUCCAUCUAAAGCUAAAUAUUGGCGAGAGACCGAUAGCGAACAAGUACCGUGAGGGAAAGAUGAAAAGCACUUUGGAAAGAGAGUUAAACAGUACGUGAAAUUGCUGAAAGGGAAACGCUUGAAGUCAGUCGCAUUGUUCGGAACUCAGCCUUGCUUUUGCUUGGUGCAUUUUCUGAAUGAUGGGCCAGCAUCAAUUUUGACUGUUGGAAAAAGGCUGGAGUAAUGUGGCACCCCUGGGUGUGUUAUAGACUCUGGUUGCAUACAGCAGUUGGGAUUGAGGACCGCAGCACGCCGCAAGGCAGGGGUGAGUAAUUGCCCACUUUCGUGCUUAGGAUGCUGGCAUAAUGGCUUUAAACGACCCGUCUUGAAACACGGACCAAGGAGUCUAACAUGCCUGCGAGUGUUUGGGUGGAAAACCCGAGCGCGUAAUGAAAGUGAAAGUUGAGACCUCUGUCAUGGAGGGCACCAACGCCCGGACCUGACGUUUUCUGAAGGAUCCGCGGUAGAGCAUGUAUGUUGGGACCCGAAAGAUGGUGAACUAUGCCUGAAUAGGGUGAAGCCAGAGGAAACUCUGGUGGAGGCUCGUAGCGAUUCUGACGUGCAAAUCGAUCGUCAAAUUUGGGUAUAGGGGCGAAAGACUAAUCGAACCAUCUAGUAGCUG
rnacentral:rRNA from 1 species